UGAGCAAUCUGCCCUUCUCUUUGGAAUAAGCGUGGGAAACCGCGUCUAAUGCCGAAUACGACCUCCUUUCGCAUGAUCGGAGGUGGUAAAGCUCCGGCGGAGAAGGAUGAGCUCGCGGCCUAUCAGCUAGUUGGUGUGGGUAAUGGCCCACCAAGGCGACGACGGGUAGCCGGCCUGAGAGGGUGACCGACCACACUGGGACUGAGACACGGCCCAGACUCCUACGGGAGGNAGCG
rnacentral:rRNA from 1 species